rnacentral:lncRNA from 1 species
AUAAUGACAGUUACUCAUGUGACAGUUUUUGGCUAAAAGGCUUUAUAUCUUAUAAGUACGACAUACAUGUGACAUAAAUUUUUUCUAUAAAAAAUUUAUGAUAAAUCUGCUGUACCGUACAUCCGCCUUGGCCGUACAGCAGUUAAGUCAUGCUAAAGUGAAUUUAUAUUGACCAAAGAAUGUUCAACCAUCUAUUAGAUACUUGCAUCAUCAUAAUCGCUCCAAGAACUCUAGUACUCAGUAUUUGCAAUAAAACAACUCAAAGAUAAGUCACUAUAACAAAAACACUCAGUGACCUUUUCAAGACAUCAUUUUUUAUCCACUUGUCUUUAACUCUCAACUCCAGAUUCUUCACAAACUUAUUCCAAAAUUUGGGCAUCACUUCACAUUUCUUAUUAACAACGUAUUUAUCUUCUUCAGAGGCACUAAGAAAUUCAUCCACUGCCCAAGUUUUUCCAACUGUCGUCAUGGCAACACCAUCCAUGCUUAUAAAAACAGCAGCAAGUUUUGCAAUAGUUAUCGAGUCCUGUCCAAGGAGAGCUCCAAAGAAAAGCACAAAUAGAGAAAUGGGUUUGCUGAGUUAUUGGAAACCUUUACCCUUGGAGAAAACAGAGCAAUUUUCCAUUUAAUGAUUGUAUUCAACUGUUUAUUAGAUACUUAAAUCAUCAUAAUCGCCAAUUUUUUAUCCUUUCUUUUAGCCUUAAGUCAUGCUAAAGUGAAUUUAUAUUGACCAAAGAAUGUUCAACCAUCUAUUAGAUACUUGCAUCAUCAUAAUCGCUCCAAGAACUCUAGUAUUCAGUAUUUGCAAUAAAACAACUCAAAGAUUAAGUCACUAUAACAAAAACACUCAGUGACCUUUUCAAGACAUCAUUUUUUAUCCACUUGUCUUUAACUCUCAACUCCAGAUUCUUCACAAACUUAUUCGAAAAUUUGGGCAUCACUUAACAUUUAUACACAAAAACAAUCUGGCCCUUUUUUUUUCUAAUAAACAUAAGCUCAUUUGAAAACACAUUUUGCAAUUAAUAAAUAAGCAAUUAAAAAUUAAAAAAAUAGAGUAAACUUUGAAGCUCAUGCUUUACAUCAUUUCAGUACAUGGCAUAAUAUUGACAAAUUUAUGGCAAAUUCCACUCAAUCAGAAUCCAAACAACUCAAAAAAAUAAACCAAUAGAGUACAAAAUCUCAUGACACAAUCCAAUUUCUCAGCAAGCAAUCACAAUUUAACUAAAAAUCAACCCCUUAAUAAGAAAUUUAAUUUUGAAAACAAAAAGCUUUUAAUCAAAACCUCUAUUUAAUACAUAUGUAAGACAUAAUUGAAAUACAUAAAGAAGAAUCCUCGAGAAGAUAUGAAGAGAGAUUACCUUCCCUUUUAAACUAUUAAGCCGCCAUUGUUAACUUGUUAUAUAGGCACCCAAAAAAUCUCAAAUCUGCAAUAUAAAACAAUGAAAAUGUCAUUAUCUUAAGGGACAUGCAAUACUUGAGCUUGAAAUAGGUCUGAGAAUUUUAAUAGGCAUUUUAUCGAAGAGUUAACAUGCAUGUUGUAAUAUGCUAUUUCUAGAUCAAAGCGUGUAUUAGAUAAGGACAACAUUGAUUUUAUUUAUCAUUGUACAAAUUUUAAUCCUCCAUACCAAGAAUGAAAUAAUUUUUUAGAAGUAAAAUGUAUUAUGUUUCUGAUUUAGUUAUAGCUCGUGGCAACCUAAGCCAAUUUAAUAGCCUUUUUUAAGCCAUUACAUUGAAUUUACAAAACCAAUCCUUCAAACUUAUUACAUAAAAGGACUUAUCUAGUUACAAUCAAU